GAUACUCUUCAUAAGGCCGCUUACAUCUCUGAUCAGUUCAAGGUCGGGUGAACACUAACUGCUGGUCUUUUAUUUAUCAAUUACUUGACAUAUUUAACAGUCUUCAAUAGAUUGUCAUUGAAAUUGUCUUGGAGUUGUAAGUUGAACAAACAGUAACUUCAGUAUAUUUUAAAGUGCAGGAGAAAAUCACAGACGUUUAAAAAUCAAUACGUAAAGCAAGAGAAGGCGUAUGAUUUGAUCUGAAUUGGACGCAGGUCUUGUAUGGCUGAAAAUCAAUAGGAGUCUUGAGAGAUGGGGC